rnacentral:misc_RNA from 1 species
GAUGAAGAACGCAGCAAAAUGCGAUACUUGGUGUGAAUUGCAGAAUCCCGUGAACCAUCGAGUCUUUGAACGCAAGUUGCGCCCGAAGCCAUUAGGCCGAGGGCACGUCUGCCUGGGCGUCACACAACGUUGUCCCCCCAAACCACGACUUCCAAGAGGACGGGGGGCAGAUGCUGGCCUCCCGUGCGCCACGGCUCGCGGUUGGCCCAAAUGCGAGUACUCGGCGACGAGCGCCGCGGCAAUCGGUGGUUGUCCAACCCUCGGUGCCAUGCUGCGCGCGCUAGCCGCUCACUGUUACUCGACGACCCCAAUGCGUCGUAUCCACGACGCUCACAACACGACCCCAGGUCAGGCGGGGCUACCCGCUGAGUUUAAGCAUAUCAAUAAGCGGAGGA